UGUUGUUUUAUAAACCAGAUGUGACAGCAGUGUGCACCCAUUUACUGCGAGGCCUCCCUGGUGAUGAUCCAUCCUACUAACAUCUACAACACUGCACUUCAGGAUUUCUGACAGGAGGAGAGACACCAGCACAAAGAGGAGCCGGGAAAGCACUGAUUCACAGCUGACCUCGUUCAUAGAGAGAAGAGUGAUUUAACCUACCUCAGUUACUGGACACAGCUUGAUUUAUAACAACUGAAAUGGUUUGUGACAGUGAUGACACCUGGGCACAAGUAUCUGUUGGAGUGCUGGCUUUCAUCGAUUAAGCUGUGCCUUUCUGUCCCAUCGCCACUUUAAUCCAGUGUCUGCUGACGUUAUUAUCA